rnacentral:lncRNA from 1 species
CUAAACCAUAAUUAUCAGUAUCACUAUUAUGCUUAAAAGUAUAAAUGAAAGCUGAUAAAAAAUUAGUUUACACCUUAAUAUUAAAGUUUGAAGACUUUCAAAUAAAAUUACCUAAAAAUUAUAUUAUUAUUAUGCUUUAAAAUUGACAUUAAUAAAGUGAAAAAAAAAAAAAAUACUUAUUUUAUUAUUUUCUAUUUGUAAAGGUUUAAAUUUCAUAAAAUAUAAGAGAAUUAUCUCCCUUUAAUAUGUCAAAAUUGGCGUAUUAGACAGUUACUGUCCAGGAGAUAUAAUAGAAUUAAAAAAUACUUUUGUGAAGCAGUCAACAGUUCAAAAAAAUGAAACAGGUUAACAUGAUAUGUAUGUUUCAUCUCAAAAAUCAAUACUAAAUCAUGAAAGAGUGUUUCACGAUGAUGACUGAUGUACCCAUAUUCUGACUAUUUUAUUUAUUGUGUCUGUUAAGUUAAAGCAUCAAUGUUAAUAUAACGGAAAUUGAUGAGACUGUUCAUAUUGAGAGGGUUAGCGCUAUAAAACCAGGUUUAAUCCACCAUUUUCUAAUUGAAAAAUGCCUGUUACCAAGUCAGGAAUAUGACAGUUCUUGUCCAUUCGUUUUUGAUGCGUUUUGUUAUUGAUUUUGCCAUGUGAUUAUGGACUUUCCUAAUUGAUUUUCCUCUAAGUUCAGUAUUUUUGUGAUUUACUUUUCACUGAAGAUAAUAAAAAAAAAUUCUAGCUACAGCACACUUACUUGAAAUUUCAAGAUACAAUAUAACAAUGUCUUUUUAUCUUCGGUAAACAAACUUAUUUUCAUACCUUCCUUCUUAUAAUUAUGCUUUUUGAAGCAAAUUUCACAAUUUUUGUUUAACUUUGUUAGUGUAUUCUUUCAGAGAAGGUCAAAGUUUGAUAUAUUGAAACAACAUACAAGUCAGGAAUGUAGUUUUUUACAGCAUCUUUUUGUAGACCAAAUAUUUUCACAUAUGGACUAAACAUCCUACCUAAAACAUAAGUUUAAAUAAAAUUUAUGAUAGACUCAUAGUAUUAAGAUAACUUUUCCGUUUAGUAAUUCCUCUUUCCUAGAAGUUAAUGAAAGAGAUUGGCAUGAAGUAUGUAUUUACAGAUAUAUUUUUGCUAAAAACUCAGGAAAUUUCAAUAUGGUGGAAUGUGUUUAAAGUCAAUAUAAUGAGAGAUUAUUUUUGAUAACUAUCAGAUGGAUUGUAAAUGCAAAAACAAGAAGGUUUGAAAAUGAGAGUAAAGUUACUUCUCACUCUUGUCUUUUUCUUUGGUUCUGAUAUGUUGUUUGGUUGCUGUCUCACUGCUAUUAUGGGUCCCCCAUAUUUGUUAUUCGUUGUAUUUGAGAAAGUAGUUGCUCAAUGUAAUCAUGUCAUGGGACGAAUUGGCAUAUCAAAAAAUGCCUAUAAAUGUUUACUUGCUUUUUUGGUUUAAACUAUGCAACUUUGAUUAAGGAAAUAUCUUUAACUAUUUAGCUGAACUAUAUCUUAUAAUUCAAAACAACUAUAUCUUAUAAUUCAAAACAGUUCUUAAACUGAAUUUAAAAUGAUUUCUCUAAUUUUGUAACACAAUAAUUAUCACAGUUAGUUUCUUGCAUAGAAGAUCAAUAAAUUAAAAAUUAGCAAAAUGCAAAUCACUACACAUUUACAUAUACAAAAUGUACACAUGAUUCAAAAUCAAAGAAUAAAUAUUUUAAAAUUAAUACUGAGAACUUUAUAAUUACAAAGCUAUAAUUCAAAAGUAUAGUACAAAUUCUUCAGUAUCACUGUUCCUCACGGUUUGACAAAAGUUUGCUACCAAGAGGGUAGUAAACAAAUAAAGUAAUCAACCUCAAAUCUGCAUAGACAAUAUAAUAAUCCAGAUAGAAAUUACAACACAAUAAUACAUACUAGUAUUUACAAAUGUCAAUCAUAUAAAAAUUGUUUCCCUUGUAUAAAUCUUGGAAUGUUAUUUUUUAUUUACAUGAUAAAAUGCAAUAACCUUUAAUAAUUGUUAACAUUUUAUGAAUAUUGAAUACCAGUAUCCCAUGUACAUAACUUGUACUCUUAAUUUUAAAACUCAAAUCAAUAGAUAUAGGAAGAUGUGGUGUGAGACUGUGAGUGCCAAUAAGACAACUCUCCAUCCAAAUAACAAUUUAUAAAAGUAAACCAAUAACCAUUUAAUAAAAUAACUGUGGUCUAAUAAUAUAUGAUAUUGAUAUACUAUUAACGUUUCCUCACAUUUACUGCUUUCGAGUGAUCUAAAAUAAAUCAUUUUUAUUUUAUCAAUGGAUUCAAUUAUGAAUUGUCAAAUGUUUGCCUUUGUUUGUAAACUGGAAAUCUUGUGGCUACUCUCAUAUCUAAAAUCUUCAAACUGU